rnacentral:rRNA from 1 species
GAACGCGAAGAACCUUACCUGGGCUUGACAUACACCAGAUUGCUGCAGAGAUGUAGUGUCCCUUGUGGUUGGUGUACAGGUGGUGCAUGGUUGUCGUCAGCUCGUGUCGUGAGAUGUUGGGUUAAGUCCCGCAACGAGCGCAACCCUUGUCUUAUGUUGCCAGCAUUUUAGUUGGGGACUCAUGAGAGACUGCCGGGGUUAACUCGGAGGAAGGUGGGGAUGACGUCAAAUCAUCAUGCCCCUUAUGUCCAGGGCUUCACACAUGCUACAAUGGUCGGUACAACGCGCAGCGACACUGUGAGGUGGAGCGAAUCGCUGAAAGCCGGUCUUAGUUCGGAUUGGGGUCUGCAACUCGACCCCAUGAAGUCGGAGUCGCUAGUAAUCGUAGAUCAGCAAUGCUGCGGUGAAUACGUUUCCCGGGUCUUGUACACACC